rnacentral:rRNA from 1 species
GAGACAGCAGCCGCCACGGUAAUACGUAGGUCCCGAGCGUUGUCCGGAUUUAUUGGGCGUAAAGCGAGCGCAGGCGGUUAGAAAAGUCUGAAGUGAAGGGCAGUGGCUCAACCAUUGUAGGCUUUGGAAACUGUUUAACUUGAGUGCAGAAGGGGAGAGUGGAAUUCCAUGUGUAGCGGUGAAAUGCGUAGAUAUAUGGAGGAACACCGGUGGCGAAAGCGGCUCUCUGGUCUGUAACUGACGCUGAGGCUCGAAAGCGUGGGGAGCGAACAGGAUUAGAUACCCCUGUAGUCCCUGUCUCUUAUACA